rnacentral:rRNA from 1 species
UGCGCAGGCGGGAGGAUAGGUCGGAUGUGAAAACCCCGGGCUUAACCCGGGGCCUGCAUCCGAAACCAUUCUUCUUGAGUAUCGGAGAGGGAAGCGGAACUCCAGGUGUAGGGGUGAAAUCCGUAGAUAUCUGGGGGAACACCGGUGGCGAAGGCGGCUUCCUGGACGAAUACUGACGCUCAGGCACGAAGGCUAGGGGAGCAAACA